rnacentral:rRNA from 1 species
UACGUAGGGUGCGAGCGUUAAUCGGAAUUACUGGGCGUAAAGCGUGCGCAGGCGGUUUUGUAAGCCGGAUGUGAAAUCCCCGGGCUUAACCUGGGAAUGGCAUUCGGGACUGCAAGGCUGGAGUGCGGCAGAGGAGACUGGAAUUCCUGGUGUAGCAGUGAAAUGCGUAGAUAAUCAGGAGGAACACCGAUGGCGAAGGCAGGUCUCUGGGCUGACACUGACGCUCAUGCACGAAAGCGUGGG